UACGUAGGUCCCGAGCGUUGUCCGGAUUUAUUGGGCGUAAAGCGAGCGCAGGUGGUUUAUUAAGUCUGGCGUAAAAGGCAGUGGCUCAACCAUUGUAUGCAUUGGAAACUGGUAGACUUGAGUGCAGGAGAGGAGAGUGGAAUUCCAUGUGUAGCGGUGAAAUGCGUAGAUAUAUGGAGGAACACCGGUGGCGAAAGCGGCUCUCUGGCCUGUAACUGACACUGAGGCUCGGAAGCGUGGGGAGCAAACAGG
rnacentral:rRNA from 1 species